AUUGAACGCUGGCGGCAGGCCUAACACAUGCAAGUCGAGCGGAUGAAGGGAGCUUGCUCCUGGAUUCAGCGGCGGACGGGUGAGUAAUGCCUAGGAAUCUGCCUGGUAGUGGGGGAUAACGUCCGGAAACGGGCGCUAAUACCGCAUACGUCCUGAGGGAGAAAGUGGGGGAUCUUCGGACCUCACGCUAUCAGAUGAGCCUAGGUCGGAUUAGCUAGUUGGUGGGGUAAAGGUCUACCAAGGCGACGAUCCGUAACUGGUCUGAGAGGAUGAUCAGUCACACUGGAACUGAGACACGGUCCAGACGCCUACGGGAGGCAGCAGUGGGGAAUAUUGGACAAUGGGCGAAAGCCUGAUCCAGCCAUGCCGCGUGUGUGAAGAAGGUCUUCGGAUUGUAAAGCACUUUAAGUUGGGAGGAAGGGCAGUAAGUUAAUACCUUGCUGUUUUGACGUUACCAACAGAAUAAGCACCGGCUAACUUCGUG
rnacentral:rRNA from 1 species